GGAGGAGUGGCCGAGCGGCUGAAGGCGGCGGUCUUGAAAACCGUUUAGUGUAAAAGCUACGUGGGUUCGAAUCCUACCUCCUCCG
rnacentral:tRNA from 1 species